rnacentral:rRNA from 1 species
GACAGAGGUGCCGAGCGUUAAUCGGAAUUACUGGGCGUAAAGCGUGCGCAGGCGGUGAUGUAAGACAGAUGUGAAAGCCCCGGGCUCAACCUGGGAAUUGCAUUUGAGACUGCAUCGCUAGAAUUGUGGAGAGGUAAGUGGAAUUCCGAGUGUAGAGGUGAAAUUCGUAGAUAUUCGGAAGAACACCAGUGGCGAAGGCGACUUACUGGACACAUAUUGACGCUGAGGUGCGAAAGCGUGGGGAGCAAACAGG